CUUGAUCAUCCUCAACCGUUUGAUCAUCUCUUCAUCUUUCUUUUUCUUCUUUCCUUUCUUUUGUUUUUCUUCUCCUCCUGUCAAUUUUGUUUGGUAUGUAGCUUUUAUGUCAAACAUAAUUCAUUCAAAUAACUAUGCCGGCAAAAACAUACAUAUUUUUUUUACAUAUAUCAUAAUUUGAAAAUUUUUAAUCGGAUAUUUUAAAUAUUUCGACAGAAGUUUAUACUAUACUGUAUUAAAAUAGAGUAGUUCACCUAAUUUAUACAUUGAGUGGUGAUGUGUAUUUGCGUUUUGGAAUUUCAUGUUUUAUAAAGAGUAUUAUUUUGCUAUUGUGUUGAAUGAAUGCUCUAAGUUAAUGGAGAUUCACAUACAUGUUUGUAUUGACAGUUUAUAUAGCUUUCAUACAAUAUUUGAAUAAACAUAACAUUAUAGUGUACUAAUCUAUUCAUCAAAAUAGUAUAGUUUCUUCCUAUGUCGCUUUCACUCUUAUACUCCCUCCUACUCUUUCUCUCCUCCCCUCCCUUUCCCGGUCUCUUUCUCCAUUCCUCCUUCCUUUCCUCCAUACUUCUAUCUUUCCUCCUUCCUCCUCCUUCCCUCCUGCUCCUCACCUCUCCAUUUUCCUCAUUUUCCCAUUCAUCAAUAUAGUAACUAUCAUCAAUUGCCAUACUAUUCUAAAUGAAAUAUAGUAUAUUUUAGAUCUUCAAGGUUAGGGUUUAGGUAGCUCCGUUAUGGGCGAUGGUUUGGUUUUACAAUUUGGGUUUAGGGUUUGGGUUAAGGGUUUAUGGUUUGGGUUUAGGGUUUAGAGUUUGGGUUUAGGAGGGUUUUCACUACAAGAAAACAGGGGGAUUCUGAUGGCCGAAAUCGUCAG
rnacentral:lncRNA from 1 species